rnacentral:rRNA from 1 species
AUUGAACGCUGGCGGCAUGCUUUACACAUGCAAGUCGAACGGUAACAGGUCUUCGGAUGCUGACGAGUGGCGAACGGGUGAGUAAUGCAUCGGAACGUGCCCAGUCGUGGGGGAUAACGCAGCGAAAGCUGCGCUAAUACCGCAUACGAGCCUAGGAUGAAAGCGGGGGACCGUAAGGCCUCGCGCCAUUGGAACGGCCGAUGUCAGAUUAGGUAGUUGGUGGGGUAAAGGCCCACCAAGCCAACGAUCGGUAGCUGGUCUGAGAGAACGACCAGCCACACUGGGACGGAGACACGGCCCAGACUCCUACGGGAGGCAGCAGUGGGGAAUUUUGGACAAUGGGCGCAAGCCUGAUCCAGCAAUGCCGCGUGCAGGAAGAAGGCCUUCGGGUUGUAAACUGCUUUUGUACGGAACGAAACGGCUCUCUCUAAUACAGGGGGCUAAUGACGGUACCGUAAGAAUAAGCACCGGCUAACUACGUGCCAGCCGCCGCGGUAACAC